AUACCUUUCUCGGUCUUUUGGCUAAGAUCAAGUGUAGUAUCUGUUCUUAUCAGUUUAAUAUCUGAUACGUGGGACAUUGUCCCACAUGAUAUUAAAUUUAUUUUUUUAGGGGAAGGGCCCAUCACAAUAGCUUGCCAUUGGGGUACUUGUGCGGCACCCUUGAGUUGCACUACUGCUUGGGCCUGGUGCACCCCUC
rnacentral:snRNA from 1 species